rnacentral:rRNA from 1 species
AACGGGGGCUAAUCCGAAUAUCACUUGCGGACGCAUGUUUGUGGGUGGAAAGUUUUUCGGCUUGGGAUGGGCUCGCGGCCUAUCAGCUUGUUGGUGGGGUGAUGGCCUACCAAGGCGACGACGGGUAGCCGGCCUGAGAGGGCGACCGGCCACACUGGGACUGAGACACGGCCCAGACUCCUACGGGAGGCAGCAGUGGGGAAUAUUGCACAAUGGGCGGAAGCCUGAUGCAGCGACGCCGCGUGAGGGAUGACGGCCUUCGGGUUGUAAACCUCUUUCAGCAGGGACGAAGCGUGAGUGACGGUACCUGCAGAAGAAGCGCCGGCCAACUACGUGCCAGCAGCCGCGGUAAGACGUAGGGCGCGAGCGUUGUCCGGAUUUAUUGGGCGUAAAGAGCUCGUAGGCGGCUUGUCGCGUCGACUGUGAAAACCCGUGGCUCAACUGCGGGCCGCAGUCGAUACGGGCCAGGCUAGAGUUCGUAGGGGAGAC